rnacentral:rRNA from 1 species
UACGGGGGGGGCAAGCGUUGUUCGGAAUUACUGGGCGUAAAGGCUCGUAGGCGGCCAACUAAGUCCGACGUGAAAUCCCCAGGCUUAACCUGGGAACUGCGUCGGAUACUGGAUGGCUUGAAUUCGGGAGAGGGAUGCAGAAUUCCAGGUGUAGCGGUGAAAUGCGUAGAUAUCUGGAGGAAUACCGGUGGCGAAGGCGGCAUCCUGGACCGACAUUGACGCUGAUGAGCGAAAGCUA